CUUGGAAGGCCACAUGAAUUGAAUAACAACAAGCUUGGCGUCUGUAAGUAUUUGCUUCUCCGCUCGACCUAAUCUUCUUCUUUGCAGCUUCACUCGACCCAGAAAUUUUGCAAAUUUUGGAUAAUCGGUUUUUCUUACUGUUUGAAUUUCUAUCACGAAACUAUUUCCGUCUGAUUGGAGGUAUCGUGAAGCAAGGAGUGGAGAAAAUGGAUAAAUUAAGAGAAACAGCUGCAAAGGUUCUUCAAAGGAUUUUGUAUCACGAAAGGAUUUCCGUCCCAUUCAUUCCUCAUAGAGAAAAAUUGGAAGAGAUUCUUCCCAACAAAGCUGGCUUACAAUGGGCGGUUCCGGCUUUCUCUUUCCCACGUUUUGUGCGGCUAUUAAAGUUCCGUUGUUCCAGCAAAGAGGUGCUGUCUGGAUUAGUAAUUUCGAUUGGAGGAUUACAGGAUUCACUUAGUAAAGCUUCGCUCCUUUGCAUUGCUGGAGUAUAUGAGGGAAGGUGAAGAAGCUAAAGACCUUAAAGAACGACAGUCCGCAUUGUGUGACGACAUUCUCUGGAUACUUCAGGAAUACAAGACACGUGACAGAGUUAUGGUACCCUGUCUAAAGGACACUGUGGUUCGUUGGUCUGCUGUAACUUGACGACUAACAUCUGUUCUGUCUGAAGAGGUGUUGUCAUCUGUUUUUGUAGCUGUUUUCACCUGGAGAGGGCGAUGGUUCAUGGCAUGGGGGUUGUUCGGCCUUAGCUGAACUGGCUCGUAGAGGGUUAUUGCUGCCUAGAAGUUUUCCACAAGUUGUUCCAGUUAUUGUGAAGGCACUUCAUUAUGAUGUUCGCCGAGGUCCACACGGUGUUGUAUCUCAUGUCCGUGAUGCAGCUGUCUAUGUUUGUUGGGCAUUUGGGCGCGCCUAUUCCCACAAAAGAUAUGAAAAAUGUGCUGGAUCAGCUUGCCCCAGAUUUACAUGAUAGUAGGGUUCCGAGGUCAACUGUAGAAGAUCUGCUGCCGCUGCUUUCCAUGGGAUUGACAUAGCUGAUUAUUUUUCCCUUUCUUCUCGGGUGAACUCUUGCUGUUUCCGUUGCUCGGGUAUCUAUAUCCUUUUGUUUUGUGGAUGAAUUACUCUACAACAAGAUCUGCCACUGGGAUAAAUGCUUAAGAGAACUUUGCUGCAUAAGCUCUUGCUGCUCUUGUUAAGUACGAGCCUAAGCACUUUUCCAACUAUGUGCUCGAGUCCUUGUACCCUUUCAACUGAUUUGUGCAUGCGCCAUGGUGCAACAUUGGCAGCUGGAGAGGUCGCGUUAGCUUUGCACCAGUGUGGCUAUGUCCUUUCUGCUGAUAGCCAAAAACGUAUGGCUGGGACUGUCCCUUGCAUUGAGAAAGAACGCCUUCACCGUGGAAAAGGUGGAGAAAUAAUGCGACUGGUCGUCUAUUGAAUGUAUCUCAUUACCGCAUGUGACAUUAGCUGAGAGAACAGAACGGAUCUUGCUUGAUACUCUCUCUCAGAAUAUAAGACAUCCCAAUUCUCAAAUACAGGUACCUAUCUUUCUCUUUCCCACGGUUUGUGCAGCUAUUAAAGUUCCGCUGUUACAGCAAAGAGGUGAUGUCUGGAUUAGUAAUUUCGACUAACAGUCCAAAGAGUCCGCAUUGUGUGACGACAUUCUUACAACACACGUGACCAAAGUUAUGGUACCCGGUCUAAAGACAAUUGAGAUCAUCUUCAGAAGCAAGAUCUUUCUGAAUCAAGAGGUUGGUUUAAGAUUUUACCUCUUUGGAUAAAAAUUGCCAAAGGUAUAAGCAGAUUCUGAACAUUUCCAUACAAAGUUUCUACGCUGGUGCCAUGGAUUCUGUAGCCAUCGAACUAAGACCUUCGAAGGACUUCACAACGUUAAAAGCAGGCCUUGCAAUAUUCCUUGGCCACCGAUACCCAAAGGUUCUUCUCACUUUCAAUCCACAUCUUAAAGGUGGCAGCGGUCCUUCAAAGCGUAAUCCUAGUGGCAGAGGAGAAGAUAGAGAAAGUGGUAUAGAUAAUUUCAGAAUCUUGUUGGGAAGCACACAUGGAUUCGACUAAGACUAAGAGGUUAGAAUUGUGCGAAUUGGCAGAUUUAGACCAUGUUUAAGACAAGAAACAGAUAGCCGGGAUGAAACGACUGCAUCUGGCGAGAACGCGUCUUACUCUUCCUUGGUCCAUUCCUCUGGCUUUUGAUUUUAAGCUUUGUCCUCGAUUCACUUUUGUCUCUCUUGUUUUUAGCACCGUUUUCAUUUUCUUCUUGUUGGUAUUUUCUUCCAAGAUCAUAAUAGAAAGAUAAUCAAAAUA